GGGGACGACUGGUUUUGACAGCAAGUUCUGUUAAUUGGUAAGCAUAUCAAGGACUGAAAUCAUUCUUGUAAAACUCAUUUCAACUUUUUAACCGGCGAAGAUAACUACGCUUUAGCUGCUUAAUCCGAAUCACAGUAGGAUUGGCCUCGGCACACUAGGUGUGCAAGCUUUAUGUCCACGAAAAGCCUUGGUUUACGGCGUUUCACUUUUGGGCAUCGUAAAAGUAAACAUAGAAAACUUGAUGCUUUGGCAAGUUUUUGAAAUAAAAAAGAUACGUUUAAAAUGGAUUGUUCUUAAUCAGUUUUAGGCCGACAAUCAAGUAAGAACUAUAUAUGUAGAAAGCUUUUUUGCCGCUUGUUUGGACCCGAGUUCGAUUCUCGGCGUCUCCAC
rnacentral:tmRNA from 1 species